GGAGGGGUUGAAGACUCGCCCC
rnacentral:miRNA from 1 species